UACUUCUAGAGAGGAUUUGCCUGACAUGUUGAACCUUACUAACUAUGCUUCUGCUCUCUUCUCAGACUGCCAUGGCUAGUUUGACAUCUGCAAGACUGAAGGUGAUUUUGGGGGAGGGCAACAUCGAAAAAUGGACUCUUCCGAAUGGCGUACCAGAGUCAUUAGAUGACCUUCUCAGCAACAUAAAGACUACUUUUGGGUUAAAGGGCUACAUCAGACUGCAAUACAUGGACAGAGAUUUUGGCAAUGACUUCUUCAAUCUGAAUUCUACUGCUGAACUUCAGGAUUUGGGGACAAUCAAGGUGAUUCACCAACAAAUAAGUGCACCUUUGCUCAGUGCUACUGAGAGCACAUCAUCUAAUUGGCUUUCACUUGAGUCUGAUGACUGUGAUUCAUUGACUGAAUUAUUCUCUCUUCACCUGAGUCUGUAUCAUCUCAAACAGCAGUGGCCAAAGGAUUUUCCAGUUCCCAAAUUUUCAUAUGACACAGAGCUGCAACUAUCCAUCCAUCCAUCCAUCCAUCCAUCCAUCCAUCCAUCCAUCCAUCCAUCCAUCCAUUUUCUAAGCCGCUUCACCAUCAGGGUCGCGGGGGGGUGAGCUGCAACUAGAGAAGGGAAAUUCUGAGUACCAUGUGAGCCACAAAAUGCUGACUCUCAGCUCCAGAAUCAAGUCUGGUAUCCUGAAUAAACUAGCAGAACAAAUUUACCAGUACAAGGCCUACCCAGAGGAUGCACAUUUCUUUAUAGUUGCAGAAGCUUUAAUCAAGAAGCACCCUUGUUUGAAAGAACUUGGCUCAUUCAGGUAGCUAUGGUUGGAAGCAGCAACUGAAGUACAAAAUGGGAAAGUGCAGGGUUGUCCAGAGCUAUCAGUAAAUUCCCUGAAAUCCAAAGCUGCUACAGAUGCUUUCCCUGCUAAAAAAGUGAAGAGACCAAAACGAGCUGAAGCUAACUUUUAUCCAUCCUUCCCUGCUGGUGAGACUUUGGAGAAAGCCUUGAGAAACGGAGACUUGAACUUCUCACAGGGAUCAGAAUAAGGGCUCGCACAUUUGCCUGCAGAAGACAGGAGGUGGUGAACCAAGAACCCAGCAUUAAAGACUUCAAGGAAAGAUGGCCUGCACUGUUCCAACAGAAAAAGAUUAAUGCAGAGUUCCAGAGGCUCAUGGCCAUUCAUCAAGAGAAGUUCAUGGCCCAGUUAGACAUGCACUCAAGUGAGCUGAUCAAAGUCAUCCAUGCCAAAGGAGGAGCAACACGGCAAAAGACAACUGACAUCAUGGAUACUUUGGACAAGACCGAAGACAUUCAUGUUCGGAGAGAGUGUGUCCUGAAGGCUCUCAUCUUCUUCCUCUGAGAAAAUGCAGAUGACCUGAUCAAGGAAUAUACUGACGAUUAUGCUCAGAGGGACCUAGAGCAGCUAACCAUGGCAGUGUGUGCCAUUCGCAGGGAGGGGGAAGGGCUGCUGGAGCCACCUGAAGACAUUGGCAUUGUCAUUGAGGGCGUGGAAGUGUUGCAUGAACUGACCUCAUUCGCCUCAGCUUGUGCCUUGCUUCUAGGUUUGAUAUAUGUACUCAACCUAGCUUAUCCCAAACCUCUUCGUUUCACUUUUGAAGUGCUUCAGAAAAUCAUCAUGCAGCUUGACCAGCAUAAGAUGUCCCACAAAGUUCAAAAUCUGUAUGGCAGACUUCAAAGCUUGCAGUAACAACACAAUGAGACAGUUUUUGUUUGAAGCAUGUAGAAAUUCAGCUGCUUUCAGAUAUUGGUCAUUUGUAUUCUUCAAGAUACUUGAGUAUAAACAUGCUAUAUUCCUCAAACCACAAUUUGCAAUGAUACACUGAUUUGCAACAGUGUUUUUUGUAAGAGCAGCCAUUUUUCCUUUGAUGUGUUCCUAAAAUCAGUUAGUGGUGGCAGAGUAGCAUGGAAGAUUAGGUAGCUUGAUUUUCUACUGAUCUUGAUUACUCAUUUAGUAUGAAAUAUCAAAUCAUGAUGAAACAUUUCCAUUCACA